UAGGGAAUAUUGCACAAUGGGCGAAAGCCUGAUGCAGCAACGCCGCGUGCGCGAAGAAGGCCUUCGGGUCGUAAAGCGCUUUUCGGGGAGAUGAGGAAGGACAGUAUCCCCGGAAUAAGGCUCGGCUAACUACGUGCCAGCAGCCGCGGUAAAACGUAGGAGCCAAGCGUUAUCCGAAUUCACUGGGCGUAAAGCGCGUGCAGGCGGCCUGGUAAGUUGGAUGUGAAAUCUCCUGGCUCAACUGGGAGAGGCCGUUCAAUACUGUCAGGCUAGAGGGCGACAGAGGGAGGUGGAAUUCCGGGUGUAGUGGUGAAAUGCGUAGAUAUCCGGAGGAACACCAGAGGCGAAGGCGACCUCCUGGGUCGCACCUGACGCUCAGACGCGAAAGCUAGGGGAGCAAACGG
rnacentral:rRNA from 1 species